rnacentral:rRNA from 1 species
CCUGAUGGCGAGUGGCGAACGGGUGAGUAAUGCAUCGGAACGUGCCUAAUCGUGGGGGAUAACGCAGCGAAAGCUGUGCUAAUACCGCAUACGAUCUACGGAUGAAAGCGGGGGACCUUCGGGCCUCGCGCGAAUGGAGCGGCCGAUGUUAGAUUAGGUAGUUGGUGGGGUAAAGGCUCACCAAGCCGACGAUCUAUAGCUGGUCUGAGAGGACGACCAGCCACACUGGAACUGAGACACGGUCCAGACUCCUACGGGAGGCAGCAGUGGGGAAUUUUGGACAAUGGGCGAAAGCCUGAUCCAGCAAUACCGCGUGCAGGAAGAAGGCCUUCGGGUUGUAAACUGCUUUUGUACGGAACGAAAAGGCUCUUUCUAAUAAAGAGGGCUCAUGACGGUACCGUAAGAAUAAGCACCGGCUAACUACGUGCCAGCAGCCGCGGUAAUACGUAGGGUGCGAGCGUUAAUCGGAAUUACUGGGCGUAAAGCGCGCGCAGGCGGUUUUGUAAGACAGGCGUGAAAUCCCCGGGCUCAACCUGGGAAUUGCGCUUGUGACUGCAAGGCUAGAGUACGGUAGAGGGGGGUAGAAUUCCGCGUGUAGCAGUGAAAUGCGUAGAUAUGCGGAGGAACACCGAUGGCGAAGGCAGCCCCCUGGACCUGUACUGACGCUCAUGCACGAAAGCGUGGGGAGCAAACAGGAUUAGAUACCCUGGUAG